AUGUGGUGGGUGUGGUGAAUGUGGAGCCUUUUGUCCUUUCACAGGUAUAUAAGAGAAGCCUCAGUAGACUUGUUAUUCUACAGACAUAAGACAGACUGCAAACUUUCCAGUGUAUUUACAGCAUUGGAGCUUUCGAUUCUAACUUACAGGCAACAUGAAGCUUUUGAUCUUUGGUGUGAUUUUGAUUGCUACACAUACUGGAGCCCAAGAUCUGGAAAAAAAGC